rnacentral:rRNA from 1 species
CACGUAGGGUGCGAGCGUUGUCCGGAAUUAUUGGGCGUAAAGAGCUCGUAGGCGGUGUGUCGCGUCGGCCGUGAAAACCUGCAGCUUAACUGUGGGCUUGCGGUCGAUACGGGCAUCACUGGAGUUCGGCAGGGGAGACUGGAAUUCCUGGUGUAGCGGUGAAAUGCGCAGAUAUCAGGAGGAACAUCAAUGGCGAAGGCAGCUCGCUGGAACGGUACUGACGCUGAGGCGCGAAAGCGUGGGGAGCGAACAGG